AUCACAUUGAUGAAACACCUGUUCUCGUACGAUCACCGAAGUUAAGUAACGUCAAGUCUGGUCAAUACCUUGAUGGGUGACUGCUUUGGUAUUCCAGGUACUGUAA